rnacentral:lncRNA from 1 species
GCAGGGUGUGAAAUUGAAGCGGGGAUGCUGUGGAUUCGCUGUGAUGAUUUUCAGCUGAAAGAUUAUGUAUGGCAUUCCACUGGAAGUUUUGAGUGUUGAUCAUGUCAAUAAGGUCUGGCAACGACUGCAUGCCAGAGCAUGGUCUUAGAUAUCGUCAGCAAAGAGUGUGAGCUCCCCACGGAAGAAAGUGUUCAUCUGAAGAGCUUUCUGUGGAAACCUGGCUGCUCAGCCUUUGCGGGCUCACGCUAGUCUCUCCAGGGAGACCCCGAGUCCUGACCCUUCUUGUUGCUCUCCUGGCACUGCCACGAGGGAUCCCAGUCUGCCAGGAGCAGUGACACCACUGACUGUGCUGUGCUACUUGCCAGCCCAAACUGACUGCUGCCCCAAGGACAGACAAUGUUCUGCCCCCCUCCAGGCAGGCAGCCUCCAGGUGGACUGCCCAGGGCUGUGAUGUCAUGUGCAUCAUCUCCGGACAGGCAGGGACAUCUCUUGGAACGUGUGCCAGGAUCACGCGAGCAGCAGGCUGGGAGACUGGCUUCUCAUAGCCCGUUAACCACAUUCGGCUCCUCAGCUGGGACCUCUUUCUUUUCCCACAGCAGGUUGUGGCCCUGCUCAGAAUGGACUGCCAGCGAAAGACAGAAGAAAUGGAAGGGAAAUACACGGACAAAAGGAUGCGGGUACAGAAGUAUCUCUUACUCUGUUCUGUCUCACUGGUAG